GUGCGUGCGUUCAUCAAUUUCUCGUUCAUAAAUCGGUGUUGUAUUAAGUUGUUUUCGUUGUUUGUUAUUGUUAUUGUUAUUUUGGUAUUUUAAUAUUUCGUAUCGAAAUCGAUGAUGAUGAUGAUGAUGAUGAGUCGUAUUCAAUUUUUUUGUUUCAACUUCGAUUGAUUGAUUGAUUGAUUGGUUUUCAUCUCUUCAUAUACGGUAUUGAUUGAAAUGUGAAAUGAUCAUAGUCCUUAUCCUCAGCAUCAUUUGUCGAUUUUCAACAACAACAACAACAA